GCCCUGGAUGCAAGUGGUUCAGCACUUUGCUGCUAACCCGAGGCCUGUGGUUCGAAUCCACCAGCUGCUCCAGAGUGGAAAGAGGAGGCUGCCUGUGCCUGUCAAGAUGACAGCCUUGGAAACCCACGAGAGCCGUUCUCUUCGGUCCUAUACCGUCCGUGGUGAAAAGAGACAACAGCUCAUCUUUUGCUCUUGAACCGACUUUGGUGCAGAAUGAAGAGAGGCCAGGAAGUCCUGACCGAUCACUGAUCACAGCGAGCUAGAGAGAACCUUGUUCCUCCCUCCGAGAUUGAAGACGACAAAAAGUGGAAGACGGAAGGGCUGCAACCAAUGGAUUCGCUAAGUUUAGGAAACGUUUAAAAUACAAUUAUGAGAUGUCUUAGUUACCUAUCUAGUGCUGCUAUCACAGAAAUGUCACAAGGGUGACCGAAGCGAACAGAAAUGGAUUCUCUUACAGGCUAGAAGGCGACAUGUCCAGAGCCAGGGUCCUGGUUUUAGGAGAAGGCUCUCCACCCUCUUUCCUCUCUCAAUUCCUUUCUCUCUCUCUCUCUCUCUCUCUCUCCCUACUCCUCUCCCCUCCCCCUCCCUCCCAAGGUCCUUUCUCUUUCCAGCUUCUGUCCCUUGCUGAGCUCCACAUAGCAUGCCAUCUAUCUCCCCACCUCUGCUUGCGUCUCUGAGGAGUGAUAGGCACAGCCUACACUGAUAAGGGCUCAUCAACAUAAAGAAUCCCUGGAUCCAAGUGGGAUUCCAUCCCUAAGUAUUGGGGGUUACAAUGGAUAGCACGUGUCUUAGGGAGACAGAAUUCAGUCCACCACAGGUGUCUACAAAUACAACAGAUGCACUUGGAUGACGGUGCUGGUGGUCAACAGUGAAAGUGCCGUGGCUGCAACAAACGCGUCUGCCUGGGGGGAGGGACGGCCAGUGCCCUACUUGGAAGCGAAGAUGGAGAGACUUCCUCGCACGCAUAGACAUGUUGUCAGGGCAGAUGCGUCCCUGGAGAAGGACAUCGUGCGUGGUGGGACAAUGGUUAAGUGCUCACUCACUGCAAACCCAAGGUCACUGACUGUAACCCAGCCAAUGGCCCCAGGCAUGAGAGAGACCUGGUUAUGUGAAAGCAGCAGCCUAGGGUCCCCGAUGUGGCAGGUCCACAGGGUCACAUGGGGCCAUUGAGUCAGAGUCAGCCCGAUGACACAGAUUGGUUUAUUAAUCUUUAUGGGAUUAGAUUACAGAUCUUUCUUCCCAGGAGGCACUGGGGGGUUUGAAUUGCUUCUCUUUCAGAGCUGAACCACAGCAUCCCCCACCCCCACCCCGACUUUCCUAAGAUCAGAAUAAAAAAGAUGGAGAUGAA